ACCUCCGCCUCCCAGGUUCAAGUGAUUCGAGUAGGUGGGAUUACAGGCACACACCGCCACGCUCUGCUAAUUUUUUGUAAUUUUUUUGUAUAUUUUGUAGAGAUGGGGUUUCACCAUGUUGGCCAGGCUGGUCUUGAACUCCUGACCUCGUGAUCCACCCGCCUCAGCCUCCCAAAGUGCUGGGAUUACAGCUAUUAGAAAUGACCAUCAACUUACGAGGAGGAGAUUCUCCCUCAUCUCACAAACUACCUGCAUCUCCACUUCCCGGGAAGAAAAAAAAAAAUUUGGACAUACCCAAGCUGUGUAUGUGCCUGAGAUCUUCCCUUCCAAGGUAAAGAGAGAGCCUGAGACAGGUCUAAAUUAGCAUCUGGACUUUCUGCGAGUAAAGAAAAGGAAAUAUGGGAAACUAAAUAAUCUAGUAACAUUAAAGGACCCACAAAGGGACUACUGGGGUGCCACUGCAGGUAACCAUCAGAGAACACACUGCUAUUUUCAAAUAAACAGAACUGAACAAAAGCAUUUUAGCAUGGUGUCUUACUGUCCAUAGAAAACUGGUGAACAUCUUCAGACACUAAGAGCAGG